UUCUACUUCAUUCAGAUCAUUCAAACACUUCUAAUGACUGUAAACAACACAAACCCCCCCAAAACUCUUAAUUUAAGAUAAUUAAAAGUCUUCAAAAUAAAGUAAUAGGUGUUCUUUCAUUUUAAUUUUGGUUAUAAAAUAUUGGAGAUAGCUUUUACUAGAUCUAAAACAACAACAUUUACAAUUUACAUAAAUUUAACGCAAUCCCACACUUCCUUUUAGCCUGUGUAGUGGCAUAGAGCUCUUCAUUCCAAUUAAAGCCUCACUACAUUUACUUUUAGCGUUUCAGUCAGCCUUCUAAUCAUUACAGUUAAUUAGCUUCAAAGUUUUAUUGUUAAUUUGAAUUGUAACUUUGUAAAAAGUUAAGUUGUGAUGAUUUCUCAGAACCUUGGGAAUAUAAUUGACUAUGCCUGUCGAUGUUAGGGUCUCCUAGGUUCCAACUGAAUUGUCUUAACAUUUUGUCCUAAUGAUAGAAAGAAACAUAGAACAAAAAUGAUUAGAUGACUGUAGAAAAUCAUAACUGAUCAUUUAGCUCUGCCGUAAACGUCAUUGAUUAUAGACAGGCUCAACCAGAGGCUUAUUGCGGGUGUUGAAUUUCCUAGUUUAAAUUAUGAUGGGUGUCCAAAAGUUAUGAUUGCAUAAGGUUGUUUUAUUUCUUUUUCUUUCUGCUUCUUAGGACUGUUAGAAUUUCCUCUUUUACAUUGAUAUUGUUAAUACGGGUAUACAUGUGGUCACUUUAUAAAGAUAAAGGCAAACAAGAAUUUUCUAUACAAACAUAGAUUUCUGCUUAUGAACGUGUAGAAUUUACAUUUAGAAAGGUAUUUAAAACAAAAUGGUCUAUUCAGAUUUCACAGUACAAUUAAAGAAACAUUGGCUUUUAUUUUAUGUUUUGCCUGUAUGGCUGUUGGCAUGUCUCAUUUUAAAGGCUGCGCCAUCUGAAGGCCACAUUUAUCAGCCACAUACGUCAUUGAGGCUGCCUCAUUUCAGAAAAGUAACCAUUACAUUCCAAAUUAAAAGAGAAAUUACAAUAAUUCAUGCGUCACGGGGAAUAACAGUUAAUUUUAUAAUUACUUUUCUGAACUGAGACAUCCUUGAUGACGUAGGUGGCUGACAAAUGCGACCUCAUGAGGGCGCAGCCUUUGAAAUGAGACAGCUUUCAUAAUGAGUACAGAUGUGACUGGCAUAGUUUGACCAAAAUCUGCUCACUGCAAAAAGGUUUGGGCACUGGCUAACAUUACAAUCCAUUUGCGUUAACACGUAUAACUGAAACAAUUAUGAUAAUUCAUUUCUAUAACAUUUUACUACUUCGUUUUCAGUUACACAUUGUCAGAAUAACAUGUCAGUGAUGAUAGUAAUAACCAGCUGUCUCGGUCUCUAAUGUUUCCUCCUGUAUCUUUACCACAGUUCUGACUGACUGGCUUGUCUUCAGAUGCUUUGGAAUGGGCCUGGUAAGUUGGUAACCGUAGGUCUCCAUGGUAACAUUCAAGCCUGUCCUCUGGCCUCAUUUACAUCAUCUCUUUGUGUAGUUCAGGCACUGUUCCCUUCCCACUUUCCUAAGUAAUGAAAAGAGCGCAUUCAGUCUGACAGUCCAAAACAUUAGCUCAUUGUUCCUGGUUGUAGCUUAGUUCUCUGCAUAAGCUGCCACAUGAUGACUAUAAGCUAUUUUAGGCCUCACAAUAGGCUUUCUGCCCUGUGAUCUCACUAGGAAUUAAUGAAUGCUUAUUGGAAACUUGAGGUAAAUGCACAAACUGAAUGCAGUCAGACUUUGCUCUGUAAAGAGUUAAUUCUGAGCUUAUACCCGUACUGUUAUGUGUGACAGUCAUUCCCAGUGUGCAAUUGAUGUUGAAAAGACAUCAAAUUGACAUAAAAAAAAAACAGGUCAAAUAUGCAAAUCAAACAGACGUCAAACCUUGACAUGACAUUGAUUUGAUGUAAAUGUAACAUAUACAUUAAACCAAUUAACAGUGUGGGAUUAACUUCCUAUUUUCACCCAAUUACCCCUGGAAUAAAUGUGCUGUCCAAACUGAAUUUAAAAUGACGUUACAGCAUCUUGAUCAAGUCUUGAGUAAUGUUUGACAUCAAAUUGAUAUCAAGGGGCCCCAGUGGUUUUAGAGGAGACUGAUGAUUGUGUUCAAACUCAAAACAUCAGUUUACAACCGUCAGCUAUUAAUGUUAUAGGUGACCUAUCUGCUGUCUGUUAUCAACUGAUUUUAACACCAAUGGCCACUUUAUAGUGAGAAUAUAAUAUAUGCUGACAUUUUUUUAACCAAUGUUCUGUUUUGAAUCUGUUUCAGGUGGACAGAGCUGAGUAUCUGCUGAGUAAUGAAUGCACAGUUGUCUUCAGAUGAAACUGAGACGAACAUCAGUGUUGCACUGUGGGCAUCUAUUCAUCAGUAAAUUAAACAUGAAAAUAGUGCAGUAUCUCCUCUUGGCAAAAAUGUCUGUAAGUACCAGCUCAUUUUUAAGCUGAGCAGUUUGGUUGAAAUAUUUUAGAAUAAGUAGGUUUAUAUUUACCAUUGCUUACCAUUGCUGUGUGCUACAUGCAGUGUUCUUAAUAAAGAUAUCUGUUACACCACUGUGCAAUAUUUUGAUGUUACUCAUGAAAAGAAUGAAUGUGUGAUUUUAAAUGACAAGUCUUAAUAUGAAAAUGCAUUUUUUUUCAUGCACUAAUAUUAUACUCUAAUAAUAAUCAAUCAAUGGUCAAUGGACUUCAGACAGUGCUGUUUCAACGAUUAUAUUAUCUAUUUUCUGUUUUGCAGAUAAACUAUUUUCUUUUAUAUUUUCCUUAUAAUUUACAUAAAAUCUCCCAGUGAUUAACAAAUGUUUUACAGGAAACCCAGUGGCUGUCAAAUGUACUGCUGGCUUUAAUCACAGUCUUGUAGAUCUUGACAAUUGUGAACAUUGUCAACAAAACAAAUAA